rnacentral:rRNA from 1 species
CCUACGGGCGGCAGCAGUGAGGAAUAUUGGUCAAUGGACGGAAGUCUGAACCAGCCAUGCCGCGUGCAGGAAGACGGCUCUAUGAGUUGUAAACUGCUUUUGUACAAGGGUAAACCUGAAUACGUGUAUUCAGCUGAAAGUACGGUACGAAUAAGGAUCGGCUAACUCCGUGCCAGCAGCCGCGGUAAGACGGAGGAUCCAAGCGUUAUCCGGAUUUAUUGGGUUUACAGGGUGCGUAGGCGGAUUGAUAAGUUAGAGGUGAAAUGUCCGAGCUUAACUCGGGAACUGCCUCUAAUACUGUUGAUCUAGUGUGUAGCUGCGGUAGGCGGAAUG